rnacentral:snoRNA from 1 species
UGUGCAUUUAUUACUGAAAGUGUUUCCUGCUAUAUUAAUUUUUGGAAAGUGGGCAGUUGGGUUGAGCUUCAUUAUCUCUUUCGCCAACAAUCAUUUUCCUCUCAUUU